rnacentral:lncRNA from 1 species
CAGCUCCACAGUCCCCUGUGGGAAUACCCACCCUGGGCGUGCAGAGCUUGUUUAUCCAUUUGACCAUCGAGGAUGGCAGAGUUUCCAUGGGGACUUGUUCCUGUGGUUCUCGAGUGCAUACCCAGGAGUGGAAGUGUGGGUAGAGGUGACAACUGUAAGCUGGUAGUGAAGGUUUUUGUGUACUGGGUGUGGGGGCCUUGGUUCUUACCUCAGGAGGGCAGGUACAGCACACUUGGGGCAAAGCCUGUUUCAUGAGAGGGGUGCCAGAGGCUGUGGGAAGUACCUGCUACCUGGAGCCAUCUCUUCUGUGCUCUCCCCAGGCCUCUCUCCGGCUGUCCCCUCCUGGAGUGCCCUGGGACUCCUCUGUUCCCAGGACUCACCCAAGCCCUGCCGCACCUUUCUUGAGGCUCCCUGUAUGGAUGCAAAGCCAUGCAGACCCCACCUUCUUGGCCAUGGUCCUGUUUCUCAUUACCCCCAGCCCCUGUACAGGGAAGGCAGCCUCCAGGCCCUUGGUGUGCACAGGUAGGCCCGCAUCCCAGGCCCCCCACUUCCCUCCAAGGCUGUAUGUCCCGUAACAUGCUCACUUGGCCAGCUGCUGGGAAACUAGAUGAGCUCACAAGCUCAGGAAGGAGCGAUGCCGCCUCCCACCUCCCGCCUCCCUCCCAGUGGCUGCAUUGACUACUCCGCAAA